UACGUAGGGUGCGAGCGUUGUCCGGAAUUAUUGGGCGUAAAGGGCUCGUAGGCGGUUUGUCGCGUCGGGAGUGAAAACCUUGGGCUUAACUCAGGGCUUGCUUUCGAUACGGGCAGACUAGAGGUAUGCAGGGGAGAACGGAAUUCCUGGUGUAGCGGUGAAAUGCGCAGAUAUCAGGAGGAACACCAGUGGCGAAGGCGCCGCUCUGGGCCGAGACUGACGCUGAGGAGCGAAAGCGUGGGUAGCAAACAGG
rnacentral:rRNA from 1 species